GGUUAAGAGACCUGGUUAGGGCAUCAGCAUGUCUUGGCAUGAAUCCCAGGUCUGCUACUAAUUUUUGUGACUAGGGACUGAUGCUAUAACCUCUCCGGAUCUCCUUUCCUUGAAUGCACAGCAGGGGUAAAAGCACCUACCUCGUGUGUGCUCGGUUGCAGACUUAGAGUCCUUCCUUGGAAUGCUUUGCUCUGCUCUUCUUGGCUUGUUGGGCUCCCCGAGAUCUCCCUGGAAAACAUCUUCUGCGCUGGGUGUCCCCUUUUUAUAAAUGCUCCCAUGGGGAAAGUUCUGAUUCAUCCACUCCAGCUAAAUGGGUGAGACUCAGAGGGAUCAGAUGGAGAAGCUGGCUUUGGGGAAGCCUCACACUCUUCAUUAGUCAACAACAAAGAUAACAGCUACCAGGAUUUGAGCACUUACUUGGAUUAUCAUAACAGCCCUAUGAAGGAGAACCUGUCAUGAUCACUCCCAUGUUACAGAUGUCAUUAAGCUGUACAUUAUGAUGGGAGUACUACUGGAGUAGGGCAGACCCUUAAUCCAACAAGACCAGUGUCCUUAUAAAGAGAGGACAAGGAAACUCUAAAUGGACACAGAGGAAGAGAAUGCUAUGCGGUGACAGAAACGGGGACUGGAACAACAUGCCUGAGAGCCUCUGACCUCCUGAAAGAAACACCGCAGGUGCAGUCAAAAGACUUGGAUUUGCACGAGCUGUGUAACCUGGGGCAGGUGCCUUCCCCACUCUGGGCUUCCGUUUUCCUGAAUGCAAAACGAAGAUAUUUGGUUAGUUGACUUCUGAAUGGCAUUCCAACCAUGAAAACUCCCAGUUGUUCCAGAGGUCCCAGAUGAACAAUUUCUGGUGGCUGCAAGCAUUCCCAGCAAAUGAUGGCAUGUUCAAGGCAUUAUGCAGAGCACAGGGAGAAGAAACGCCAUGUGAGGACCCAGCAAGAAGGUGGCUGUCUGCAAGCAGAGAAGAGAGCACUCACCAGAAACAGAAUUUGCUGGCACUUGUAUCUUGGACUUCUGGCCUCUGGAAGUACUCUUGCUACUAUCUGCAUCGAUCUACACUGGGCUUGAGCAUGAACAUCCUGAGGGGCCACCCUGCUCUGAUGCCAGGCCCUGCAGGGGCUCCAUGACCAUGGGGCAUGAGUGAGUUCACAGCACUGAGAUGCACAUGAACAGGGCUUCAAACCCCAGCUCACCUCUGAUGCCCCUUGUGACAGCUCUUCACCUGACAAGAGGAUGUUGUCAUCUUCCUGACAUCCCCCAGCACCUGCAUAGUGAGAUGCAAAUCUACCUCAGGGCACUCAGAUGCCACCAGACAUGGAUGUAGCCACCGAUUCUCCAGACACAUCUUGCCCUUUCAUUUGAUGCUCUACUGGAUCUUAAAAUGACAGUCAGGCUACCUGUUUCCUGUCUGCACACCUUUGGCUACACUCUCUGCUACUCAUCUUUCAAGGCCAAGUUCAAACAUCACCUCCUCACGGAAGCCCUCCUGGUGUCCUCCUGAUUGUUCCUACAACCUCUGCAUCUAUUUCCACAGCAGCCCUUGACACAUCAUGUCCUGUAACAUGUCUGCUUGUCCAUUCUCCUCUGAGUGUGAGCUCCUUGAAGACACAGCGAUUCUCCAGGGCCUAGCACAAUCUCUGCCAUAUAGUAUGUGCUCAAUAAAUACUUACUGAAUAAGUGAAUAAAUGGAGCAAUAACAUACUAAUUGAGUGGAUGAAUAAAUGGAGGAAUAACUAUAAAAUUGGCUGGAAUCGUGGUAUCAUUCUCUAAACUUCCAGGGACAUCAUUAUACUUUAUUAUCACAAUAUUUUUU
rnacentral:lncRNA from 10 species